AUUGAACGCUGGCGGCAUGCCUUACACAUGCAAGUCGAACGGUAACAGGUCUUCGGAUGCUGACGAGUGGCGAGCGGGUGAGUAAUACAUCGGAACGUGCCCGAGAGUGGGGGAUAACGAAGCGAAAGCUUUGCUAAUACCGCAUACGAUCUCAGGAUGAAAGCAGGGGACCGCAAGGCCUUGCGCUCACGGAGCGGCCGAUGGCAGAUUAGGUAGUUGGUGGGAUAAAAGCUUACCAAGCCGACGAUCUGUAGCUGGUCUGAGAGGACGACCAGCCACACUGGGACUGAGACACGGCCCAGACUCCUACGGGAGGCAGCAGUGGGGAAUUUUGGACAAUGGGCGCAAGCCUGAUCCAGCCAUGCCGCGUGCAGGAUGAAGGCCGUCGGGUUGUAAACUGCUUUUGUACGGAACGAAAAGGUUCUGGUUAAUACCUGGGACUCAUGACGGUACCUGAAGAAUAAGCACCGGCUAACUACGUGCCAGCAGCCGCCGUAACAC
rnacentral:rRNA from 1 species